rnacentral:rRNA from 1 species
CCUACGGGAGGCAGCAGUGGGGAAUAUUGCACAAUGGGCGAAAGCCUGAUGCAGCAACGCCGCGUGAGCGAUGAAGGCCUUCGGGUCGUAAAGCUCUGUCCUCAAGGAAGAUAAUGACGGUACUAGAGGAGGAAGCCGCGGCUAACUACGUGACAGCAGCCGCGGUAAUACGUAGGGGGAUAGCGUUAUCCGGAAUUACUGGGCGUAAAGGGUGCGUAGGUGGGUUCUUAAGUCAGAGUGGAAGGGCUACGGCUCAACCGGAGAUAGCCUUUGAAACUGGGAAACUUGAGUGCAGGAGAGGAGAGUGGAAUUCCUAGUGUAGCGGUGAAAUGCGUAGAUAUUAGGAGGAACCCCAGUUGCGAAGGCGGCUGUCUGGACUGUAACUGACGCUGAGGCACGAAAGCGUGGGGAGCAAACAGGAUUAGAUACCCUUGUAGUC